rnacentral:rRNA from 1 species
UAGUUACCAUCAUUAAGUUGGGUACUCUAUUGAGACUGCCGCUGACAAGGCGGAGGAAGGUGGGGACGACGUCAAGUCAUCAUGGCCCUUACGACCAGGGCUACACACGUGCUACAAUGGGUAUUACAGAGGGCUGCGAAGGUGCGAGCUGGAGCGAAACUCAAAAAGGUACUCUUAGUCCGGAUUGCAGUCUGCAACUCGACUGCAUGAAGUCGGAAUCGCUAGUAAUCGCAGGUCAGAAUACUGCGGUGAAUACGUUCC